UUGUCUGGUUUGUUGGCAGUAGGCCCACAUCCACAAAGAAGUUUGAUGGGGUAAGCCCUGUACCAUCGCCACCUACAUAGCCCCCUCAGCGUUGCCCCAGGCCAGCUGACCCCAAGCAGACAUUUUGGGGUCACAGUGCUUACCAUAAGCCUGCACACAGAGGACGGAGCCCACCCAUGUGGUGUGUUCCCCGAUGCGCUGUGCCCUGCUGGUGCAGUGACUGCAAUGGUGCUGGCCAGGCCCAUGCCAAAGAGGCCUUUGCCUUGCUGGGCGUACCCACUCCUGCUCUGCCAUGGCUCAUGUGGUAAAGCUCAACUGCUUGUGGAUAAAGCGAUAGAUACCAAUGAGCCAGACCCUUGGAGAAAGGAAGACUACAUAGAGCUUCAUCAACAAGUCCUCUGGCCCUAUGCAAGUCUACAGAAAGAUAAUGUUUUAACAUCUGAAUGUUUUAAAGGGAAGUUACACAUUUACACAUUAAAUGCUUAUCUCUGAGCUUUAAAAGUGCAGUGAUGUGUUAGAACACUUAUUGGAGCUCAUUACGUUUCAGUGGUAUUACUAAAAACACAGUCAACAUCUUUGAGACUUGCAUUAUUUUCUGUGCAAAAGGACUUCAUUAUGUGGAGCUAGACAAUCUGCUGGAGAUCCGAAAUGGUGGACGCGUUUUUGCAAGCAUAAAUAGUUUGACAGUAAUUUCACUUCAAUGUUAUGUUAGCAAUUUGUAUCCAUUUUUCUACAAUCAGACCUUUGAGAAAUGGUACUUAUAAAUAUUUUUUUGGUAAAAAGCAUUUCACAAAAAAAAUCUCUUUACAAAGCCAGAAAUUUAUUACAUAGCACACAGCCAAAUCCAUCUGCUCUUCAGUCCCAAAUAGAUAUCUUAAUCGUAUUCAAAUUGUCUCAUUUGCACAAAAGGAGAGCGAGAACCACCUUAAGGAACUUGAACGAUCUGCUGGGGUUUAGUCCAACUCCCACUUAGGUCAAUGGGACACAUUUAAUGAGUUACGCAGAGCUGUACUCCGUGUCUAGUACACAGGAUGUAACAGCACACUUUCUGGUCUUAGGAGUCAAACCAGUAUUUUCUGGAGACUUUUCCCAUCCCAGAGAAGUUCGUUCGGAGAUGGUUCAUCUAGAGGUACCCAGAGAAAUGGUGCGUGGCAGAAGAACUAGUCAAAGAGCACCAGAGUCACCAAAGGCCUCAGAUGUAGCCUGAGACAGCAGAGAAAUUACCACAAUGCAGGGAAAAGAGCCAAAAGGUGAAAUUAAAUUCCAGUUUGGAUGCUUACAAGGUCCUGAACUGCACAGAUGCUUAUUCUGUACUGUGACCCUUUGCUGAUCAUAACAGUUCAUCUGCUCAGGAUAGCUAUUCUCAAAAGAUGUGAAAUAGCAAACUUUGUAUUUCCUGAUGAAGAUGUACAAUGUAAGAUUUCACAUAACUCUAGUGAGCUGAGGUUCCUCCUCAGUUCUUUUCUUCUGUAAAGAAGAAAAUCUUUAUACA
rnacentral:lncRNA from 1 species